rnacentral:rRNA from 1 species
GACGAACGCUGGCGGCGUGCUUAACACAUGCAAGUCGAACGGAAAGGCCCUGCUUUUGUGGGGUGCUCGAGUGGCGAACGGGUGAGUAACACGUGAGUAACCUGCCCUUGACUUUGGGAAAACUUCCGGAAACUGGGGCUAAUACCGGAUAGGAGCUCCUGCUGAAUGGUGGGGGUUGGAAAGCUUCGGCGGUUGGGGAUGGACUCGCGGCUUAUCAGCUUGGUGGUGGGGUAGUGGCUUACCAAGGCUUUGACGGGUAGCCGGCCUGAGAGGGUGACCGGCCACAUUGGGACUGAGAUACGGCCCAGACUCCUACGGGAGGCAGCAGUGGGGAAUAUUGCACAAUGGGCGGAAGCCUGAUGCAGCAACGCCGCGUGCGGGAUGACGGCCUUCGGGUUGUAAACCGCUUUCGCCUGUGACGAAGCGUGAGUGACGGUAAUGGGUAAAGAAGCACCGGCUAACUACGUG